AUAACGUCAUUCAUUGAGGGGAACGUGGACAAUGAGAAUCAAUACAAAAUUAGUACUAUACACAAUUUAUUGUACCAAGUAAAAUGAAAUGUUUUAUUGUUGCUUAUUAUAAUUAUAAUUAACCCUCAAUUAUUUAAUAAAUUUUGUUCCCUUUAUUUUCGACAUAAUAACAAAACUGAUGGCUUCGUUUUUCAUUAUGUUACCGUGACGAACCAAACAGGUAUCUAACGAAUGUCUAACACAAAGCACGGGCGAAUCUUUUUUCAUUGAUGUCUUGACUAAAUAUUUGUUGAUAAUUUUUGAAAUAUUUGUAGCAUAUUAAACAUGUGAUUCCUUUUGGAUAUUUUUUAAUUAUAUUUUUUUUACUUUUAUUUUUCGUUUUUUAGCAAGUGUAUUAAAACCAAUUGACUUCUUGUUUGACAGAAUGUGGGUGGGAUUACUUACUAGUUAUAUUUAUUUGCACAUGUUUAAAAUAGAACAAAGGGUUCGAAAUAUUUUUCCUCGAAAGAUUUCUUCACUCUUGUCUCUUUUUCGUUCACACGGAAUUAUGUAAAUUAUGUUAAAUUAUCUUUUUUUUUCUUUACAUGUGUCAUAAUAAUAUAUAGUGUAGAUCUAUAUAAAAAAUUGCAGACAUUCUCAGGGGGUGUUUGUAUUUUGUAAAAAGCACUUCAGAAUCGCUUAUGUCUGCUCCACGCAGACCAUGCGUAGACGUUUGAGUUUGCAACUUGUUUGUUUUUUGGAAGUGAUUUCAUUAAAGAAACAUCUUCCAAACCUCUUCCUCAAACAAACAUGGCCUCACAUCUUAACACCUAUUCUAAACUCUGCUCUUUCAAAACACAUCUCAAAACCCUAGUAUCCUCUUCUCCACAGGACGCCUCCAUCGAUUCUCCACAACCGAACCUCCAUCGAUUCUUCACAGAACGAGAUCAGCAGUGUCGAUUGAUAUAAAGAAGGUUUUUAUCAACCUCAACAAAGAAGAAUUAGAAUUUCUAGUUAUUUGGGUGUUUUCAGCUAAGCAGAGUCCCUGUGUUCAUCACAAUCAAUAGGUAUGUUUAAUCUUCUUUAUUACCUAAUUUUAUGAACUAUAUGUCUUCACAUGUCGACUAGUAAAUUCAUAUGUCGACUAGUGUUUGUUUGAAACUUGUAUGUGGUUAAAAUUUAAUGUUUGUUUGAAACUUGUAUGUGGUUAAAACUUGAUGUAAAUUCAUAUGUCGACUAGUGUUUGUUUGAAACUUGUAUGUGGUUAAGACUUGAUGUUUGUUUGAAACUUGUAUAUGGUUAAAACUUGAUGUAAAUUCAUAUGUCGAUUAGUGUUUGUUUGAAACUUGUAUGUGGUUAAAAUUUGUUGUUUGUUUGAAACUUGUAUGUGGUUAAAACUUGAUGUAAAUUCAUAUGUCGACUAGUGUUUGUUUGAAACUUGUAUGUGGUUAAAACUUGAUGUUUGUUUGAAACUUGUAUGUGGUUAAAACUUGAUGUUUGUUUGAAACUUGUUUGUUGAUUAGUAGAAAUGGGAGAGAAACAACAAUGGUCAAAUGAACAUCUAAAAUGCUUAUUAGAGACUUGCAUUGAAGAGAUAAACACGGUGAGUAGAAAAUGAUUGAGUUUGCGUAAAGACUCGUGGAAUAAUUUAGGAAAAGUUCUUAAGGAAAAGUUUGGAUUGGAUUUGACUAAAAAAUAAAUGAAGAAUGCAUAUGAUAAUCUUAAAGCCAAAUAUGUAGGUUGGGUGUAUUUGAAAAACAAAACCGGUAACAUAUACAACGCUCAAACAAAUAAUUUUACUUUAACGAAUGAGGAAUGGGAAGAAUUUAAGAAGGCUGCAUCACUGAAAACAGUUCCAUUGCCUUUUCAAGAACUUUGUGCAGAAUUGUUUGAUGGGAAUACUGUCACUGGAAAUUGCAAGUGGACCUCAACCCAAACAACAUCCGGGGUUGGAUCUUCUUGUCAUCGUGUCCAAUCACUUAUGAUUAUGGACACCCAUUAUCAUGACACACAAGAUGAUGCCGGCACUUCUGAGCCUACUUUUGAGCCUACUUCCGAGCCUAAUCCAAACAAAAGGGCUAAAACCUCAAAACCAUCUACUAACCAUGAUGAUUUAGCACGUGAUAUGCAGAAGGCUCUACAGUUUUUUAUUAAAGGCAGGAAGGGCCAAUAGUUCGUGAGUGUUCUGAUAAGUUAAACUUGGUUGGGUUAGACCCAGUAGAUCCUAUAUUCUUAGCUGCUUUUCAUAUUUUUGGAGUGUCCUCCGACAUGAGAGAGACGUGGAUGGCAUUGCCAGAAAUUCCCAAGGUCUUAAGAGGGUGGAUUAUUAUAAGAAAUUACGCUUUUGGUUGUUUAUAAUUGUUAAAACAUGAUCACAAUGGAUUAUAAUAAGAAAUUACUUCUCGUUAUUCUUAUGUACUUGUAUGUCCGAAUUUUUUGGAAGAGAAGUUUAAAACGCAUGCGAGACAAUGAUUCGGGUAUGGCGGGACAUAAAUACACGUUGGAGUUAUUGACAGGAAAUCCAAAACAAUGCAUUGAACUUCUACGUAUGUCUCGUGAAUCAUUUGUCCGACUAUGUGCACAUUUUAGAGUAAAUUAUUCGUUAGAGGAUAGUAAACAUGUAUCGGUUGAGGAGAAGAUGGCUAUGUUUUUUAUGAUAAUCGGUCAUAAUCAAUGAUAUGUAGUUAUCAAGCGUAGAUUUCAACACUCAAAGCAAACAAUUCAUAAAUAUUUUUAUGAAGUCUUGGAUAAAAUGAUGCUUUUUGCCAAAGAAAUGAUAGUACCAACUUCUUUCAAUCCUAAUCCAAACAUACCGGGACAUAACAAGAGGCUACGACGGGUUUUUAUAGG